GGAUGUGAGGGCGAUCUGGCUGUGACAUCUAUCUGUCACCCCAUUGAUCGCCAGGGUUGAGUCAGCUGAUCUGGCUGGCUAAGCGGGUGUCCCUUUCCUCCUUCACCGCUCCAUGUGCAUCCCUCCAAAAGCUGUGUGCUGGGUUGAAGAGGAUGACCUUCCCUGAUAGACUGUUCUUCGGUCAAGGUUAUAUGAGUAGCUGCGCUCCCCUGCUAGAACCUCCAGUCAAGCUCUCAAGAUGUAAAAUUUUGCCACACCUGUAAUCCUAAAGCCUUGGGAGGCUGAAGCAGGAGGAUCACAAGUUCAAACCCAGCCUCAGCAACUUAGCAAGGCCCUAAGCAACUUAGA
rfam:Ictidomys tridecemlineatus contig117519, whole genome shotgun sequence.